GCCCAGGCGACUUUCAUGGCUAAGUGUUCGCUGAAAUUGUGGAGGUCUGUAACCGACUCUGUUUUAGAUGAUCCGUAGCAACUUCAGCUUCUAGUUCUUGCAUCAUUGAAGCAUCCGAUUACUGAUUCUCUGGCAUAGGUGCGAUUUCUUAAGCUUCUUCAUAUGUAUGCUAUUACUGAUCCUUAUUACCUUCUCUGGAUUUUCCUUUGGAUUUGUAAAUCACCAGUUUCUAGCCUCCUUUGGCAGCUCUCUUUCUCGAUGCUUUUCAUUUUCACUAGCAACCUCUAAUUUUGUUGAUCUUUAUUUUUUUCCUUCAUCGAAACAGAAAAUUUGUCUUAAUUAGUGGAAUUUAAGGUGUGAUUAUAGGGAGUAAAAAUUAAAAAAAUGAUUUGCAAUAGCCAUGCUUAGUUAAUUAAUUUUGCUGUAUUUUCCUUUUUUUUUUAUUUGUUAAAAUUUGUUUCGUGCAAUUAAAUUAUUGCCUUGAUCUAUUGGUAAGUCUAAAUUUGGAGUAUUUCAUCUAUGAACAUAAAGAAAGCAAAUUGUAUGUUUUUAUUCUCCAUGCAGGAAAGACGCCUUUUGAGGGUUAGUGAAUUGUUGAAUCAUCCAUUUAAGUCCUAUGUAAGUGUUCUGAUGUUCAUAUUAAUUUAUCUUCAUUACUUUAUCUUGUGCAGUUAAUUUUUAUUGGUACCAUUUGGAUUAGCUGAUCGAUGUUAGAUGUUGUCUUAUUUGCUAGAGUAAUUCUUGCAAGUUAUAGCUAUAUAUAGGAGCUUUUCACCUGCUAAAAUUGCAUCUGGGUGGCAAGAAUUUGAUUAAAUGUAAUUAAAUGUAAAAUUU
rnacentral:misc_RNA from 1 species